AGUGAACGCUGGCGGUAGGCCUAACACAUGCAAGUCGAACGGCAGCACAGGAGAGCUUGCUCUCUGGGUGGCGAGUGGCGGACGGGUGAGGAAUACAUCGGAAUCUACUCUGUCGUGGGGGAUAACGUAGGGAAACUUACGCUAAUACCGCAUACGACCUACGGGUGAAAGCAGGGGACCUUCGGGCCUUGCGCGAUUGAAUGAGCCGAUGUCGGAUUAGUUAGUUGGCGGGGUAAAGGCCCACCAAGGCGACGAUCCGUAUCUGGUCUGAGAGGAUGAUCAGCAACACUGGAACUGAGACACGGACCAGACUCCUACGGGAGGCAGCAGUGGGGAAUAUUGGACAAUGGGCGCAAGCCUGAUCCAGCCAUACCGCGUGGGUGAAGAAGGCCUUCGGGUUGUAAAGCCCUUUUGUUGGGAAAGAAAUCCAGCUGGCUAAUACCCGGUUGGGAUGACGGUACCCAAAGAAUAAGCACCGGCUAACUUCGUGCCAGCAGCCGCCGUAA
rnacentral:rRNA from 1 species